AGAGUUUGAUCAUGGCUCAGAUUGAACGCUGGCGGCAGGCCUAACACAUGCAAGUCGAACGGUAACAGGAAGAAGCUUGCUUCUUUGCUGACGAGUGGCGGACGGGUGAGUAAUGUCUGGGAAACUGCCUGAUGGAGGGGGAUAACUACUGGAAACGGUAGCUAAUACCGCAUAACGUCGCAAGACCAAAGAGGGGGACCUUCGGGCCUCUUGCCAUCGGAUGUGCCCAGAUGGGAUUAGCUAGUAGGUGGGGUAAAGGCUCACCUAGGCGACGAUCCCUAGCUGGUCUGAGAGGAUGACCAGCCACACUGGAACUGAGACACGGUCCAGACUCCUACGGGAGGCAGCAGUGGGGAAUUUUGGACAAUGGGGGCAACCCUGAUCCAGCCAUGCCGCGUGCGGGAAGAAGGCCUUCGGGUUGUAAACCGCUUUUGUCAGGGACGAAAAGGUGCGGGUUAAGAGCUAGCACUGAUGACGGUACCUGAAGAAUAAGCACCGGCUAACUACGUGCCAGCAGCCGCGGUAAUACGUAGGGUGCGAGCGUUAAUCGGAAUUACUGGGCGUAAAGCGUGCGCAGGCGGUUGGGUAAGACAGAUGUGAAAUCCCCGGGCUUAACCUGGGAACUGCAUUUGUGACUGUCCGACUGGAGUAUGUCAGAGGGGGGUGGAAUUCCAAGUGUAGCAGUGAAAUGCGUAGAUAUUUGGAAGAACACCGAUGGCGAAGGCAGCCCCCUGGGGCAAAACUGACGCUCAUGCACGAAAGCGUGGGGAGCAAACAGGAUUAGAUACCCUGGUAGUCCACGCCCUAAACGAUGUCUACUGGUUGUUGGAGGGUAAAACCUUCAGUAACGAAGCUAACGCGUGAAGUAGACCGCCUGGGGAGUACGGUCGCAAGAUUAAAACUCAAAGGAAUUGACGGGGACCCGCACAAGCGGUGGAGCAUGUGGUUUAAUU
rnacentral:rRNA from 1 species